CCUCCAGGACCAGGGCAGGUACCUGUGUUAUGCCAGCACUUCACAGAACAACCAGGAGACCUUCGUCAUCCUGACGGCGAGGGGUGAGCUCGAGUCCUGAUGUCAUAUCUUAUUUAAAAUAUAUAUUUUUAUAAUGCAACCCACUGACGGGUAGUCUGAGCCCAUAAACGUAUAUUAAGUUCAGGUUUCAGCAAAAAAAUUAUGGACCUUUGAAUAGGAUUUAACAAAUGGCAAAACAAGUUGAUGAAGAAAGUUGUGUAGUUACGCAGUUAUGUAAUUUUUAAAGCAACCGUGUAGUUUGCUAUAUGUUUUCAUAAAGUACAGUAACAAAGGUCACUAACUCAGUUAAGGGUCCACUUACACUUCACAAACUUUACGAUUCAAUUAUUACCCUACAAUCUGAGACCUGAGUUUGUUCAACCACAAAAUAAAAUUGCAAUGUUCCCGUGUCAGUUGUGUGUCUAUUUUGGUAUAUGUUUUCUUAUGUUCAUGGUGUGGUUAGCAAUAAUACCUAACUACGCCAUUGAUAUCAGUAUCAAUGUAAAUGCAGCAAACCAAAUGAGGCAUAGUAACUAUUCGUUUCUUGUUUUAAUGUGGUGUCAUGUCGUUGCAGCUCCUGUUAAUAGAGUGGACAUUGUGCUACUGAACAACACUGUCACCUGUAAGUCUGGAGGAAUCUACCCAAGACCAAAGCUCACCUGGUCCGUCAGUCCUCGCCCGGCUACUAUCCUCCAGAACACAACAGAGGUCCAUGAAGAUGACCAGGGACUCUAUGACAUCAGUGGCUCCUUAAGGACUGUUUACAAUGACACAGAAUCGACCUACAGCUGCUUAGUCCAAAAUGAACACAGUGCAAGGAAAGCCACGAUGAGGUUACACCCUCCAAUGCAAAGUGCUCCCAAGAGUGAGGUGUUACUCCCUUGUGACGCCUCUGGGCUCGAUGACAUCACCUGGACCUUCAACCACAACCAGACCAUCCUCAGAAGACAAGCAGGACAAGAGAAGGUGGUGGAAACAGAGUGGCAGCAGCAUGUAAGAGACCUGUCUGAAUCAGGCAGCCUCCUGCUGUAUGUGACCUCAUCAGCCCAGAGUGAAGGGGCGUACAGGUGUACUCUCAGGUAUGCAGACGAAGAAGACGUAACCCACAUUGAACUGAAGAUACUGGAGGACCCUGUUGCAGAGGGUUCUCAUCUCACACUUCCGAUGUUACAAAUACUUAUGGUUUUCCUUACAAUCUCCCCUCUCAUCCUCUGGUUAUGUAUUCAUAGAAUCGAGCAAUCACUAUUCCAAUUUUUUUUUUUUGGUUUCAUUUUUAUUGUUUUUUUGUUAUUUUGUUGUUGCAAUGCACAACUUAUUGCUUCUCUUAUUUAGAGUAAUUGGUUUAAGAACGUUGUGUGGUUAUUUCUGGGUCAUUUAUGAGUGAUGUCGGACUGUGUCGUUUUCUAAAUAUGAUUGGUAUGAAGCUAAUAUUAAAGGUUGCAUCAGCGAUGUUGGGUGACGUCACUUUUGUUUGUAUUUGAAGCGAGAACCCAAACAAACAGAGCCGUGUUUUGUGCGUCCAGUAAAAACUAUCAUGAACGCAGCGAAAAAAAAACACAACACACACCCCUUGUCGAUGAUUGGUUGGAAUACUAUUUAUUUGGGUUUUGAGUGGUCGGUAGUACCAUUUUUGUUUUGUAUACGAUCUCGGAGCAUAUGGUGUGAUCCAUCCAGAUGCCACCACCCUACCGAGUUGCACUUGUGACGUCCUUUCCGUGGGGUAUUCCACGAACUGAGCUUUAACAAACACUGUGAGCGUUAACACUGUUGACGCUGAACUCUAGGUUGGUUGACCCUGUGCCGACUAACCCAGAGUUUUCGGUUCCACAGCAGCGGUUAUGCAUUAGUUCAAUCAACUCGGGGUUGGUUAACACAGGGUUGUGCGCGUCCACGCCAAACCUAAAAAGUAACCCGGAGAACCAAAGCCUGGCAGCGGAUCGCUGACCGCGUAAAUGCGUUAGUUACACGUCAAAAGCAUGAUCCUUAAUAUUUGAGCCAUGAAUCUAUAAAUAUCCCAGAUAAGCAUUCUUAACGUUCCUACCACAUAACCCUUUUCUUCUUAAAAAAAUAUGUAGCCUACUUCGAUGGCUCCCAAGCGGUCAGCUGAUCAAGUAAAAAUAAAGCAUAAAAACAUAGGCCUACAAACUGGUAAGCUUUUCCCACCAUCGUAUUGGUAUACAUUUAAAUAAGCCAUUUUCUUUUUUUCAAUCGUGAAAAGGCAGACUGGAUCUGCCCCUCAAAUUGUCUUGACCCCGGUGGAGGAGCUGUUAAUAAACAUAAAUUCAGGGUGUCCUGGCAUGGGGGUACCUGGAGGUACCUCCUCAGAGAGUCAGGGGCCAUGUGAGGGUACCCCACUGGUUGAAUGUAGGUUUUUGUGUUUUCUUGUAUUUUAGCUUUUGUUUGCCUUCAAAGUAACACAUGCAAACCGUGUGUGUGCCACAGCGCAUAUGUUCCAAAUGUUGUUGUUUUUUGGUAAUUGGGUAAACCUAAAAGUGACAAUUCAUCAACCAAACAGAUCAAGAUGGAUUGGUGCUUGUAAUGAAGCCGCCGGCUACGAUCGAACAUUCUCCAGUGGAUGUAAGUCCGUUAGGACUAUUUUAUACUUUAUGUUGUAAGCGCCUCUCGGCAUAGUACUCAGCCAAUAUUGCUCUUUGUAUGAUAGGAGGCCGAUAAAAAUCUUGGAUGGGUCAUCUGAAAGGACUGAGAUGUGCUCAGCAUCUCCAACAUUACAGAUAAAACUAGGCUACCAUUUGCAAAAAACGGAGGGCUACGCAAAUAGUGAACUGAGGCCAGGUCCUCGAUUGGUAGUGUUGGCUAUGUAAGGCUGGAGAAGGCAUCUAGAGAAAUUCGGUGAGCUCAGCAGGUGCUGCUGGAUGUACCUAGGUGCAGACAAAAAACAAAAGGCGACAGAGCCUUCGCUGUGGCCGCUCCUAAUAUUUGGAACAGUCUCCCCCUGAGUCUAAGAUCUGCCCAGUCUAUAGACCAGUUCAAAACGCAACUAAAGACUCACUUUUUUACAUUGGCUUUUAAUACAGAUUAAGAUUUUAUUUUAUGUUAUUCAUUGUUGUUGCUAAUAUGCAAUUUUAAGCCUUAUUGUUCUUUGUUUUGUUUUUUAUAUUGUAUUUGUGUACAGCACUUUGGUCAACUACUGUUGUUUUAAAAUGUGCUAUAUAAAUAAACUUGACUUGAUUUAUUAAAACUAAAGAUUUGCGCGAUAAUCUAUAUCUCUCCAGCAAAAAGUCAUCCGAUAUGCCAAGAUGUCGAGCCGUGGUCUUAUUAAUCGCUCCUGGUGGAUUGCACAUAUAUUGCGCUCCGAUAUCAGCAGGCCUCUCAUCAAAAGGGCAUGCCAUUGUGAACACAUGAAAUCUGCGGUGAACGCCGGUUUGAAUACCCAAACCCGGGUUAUGUUUCAAACUUAACCUGCGCAAAACCUGCUCCGACCAGGUUUGAUUCAGAGCAUAUGUUUCUAUAGUAACUAACAUACCGUGUUCAUUUUGGAACGGAAAACCUAGGGUUACCGCAAACCCUGGGUUAACUUACCCGGUUAUGUGAUAAAACCGGCUUUGUGGAAUACCCCACUGGUCUCGAAGCACUUAUAGCGUUCCCGUUUGUCUUUGUGAUUGUGUCAUGAAAUUGGCUAGACGUUGUUUAUUGUCAGCUACAUUAGCCUCUUCAGCAAACCAGCUCGAAAACAAACAACACAACUUUACAUUGUAUUGAACGCACAGCAAGACCGUGCAAUGCAUAAAUUAGUGACUGGAAUAAAGUAGCAAUGUCAUACAUUUUGUAAGAGCAUUGAAAAUCAACAUUAAAAUGACCAACGUGGUACAAAUACAAAGAAAAUAAAUCUCUACACAGGCACAGCCAUUUUUGUUGAGUGUCAUAACUGCACUCGGGGCCUGUACUACGAACCUCGAUUAGAGGGUUAGCAAGGUAUGUUGAGCUCAAAGCCUGGGUUAGCCAAUAUCAUCCCACCGCAGACACAAAUGGGCGUUCUCGUGUGGUGGGGGUUCCCGUUUAUGCAGACUGGAACGCCCCCUUCUUAUUCUUCGUCGCCUUUCUCACUGAACUGUAUUAAAAUGUCGAAGUGUACUUCUCCGAAACUAUGUAAAUAGUGUUGUAAAUAAACUUCAAAAGCUUUUCAAAUCUUAUUUGGAAAAUAACUUCACAUGGUGUGUCUUUUUACAAUUUAUUCGUUACCAGCAUCGUAGUGUUGAUCAGCAGUGAAAUAGUCCGCCAAAGACGUUGACGUCGCUUAGCAACCCAAGACGCUGGGGUUGACAAGUUACCGGACUACUUCCCAUGCAAGUGAACAGAGUAUUCCACGACAUUAAGAAGACCCAUGUAAUAAAGGCCUAUACUAUUUCUGUAUAUGGCAUCGAUUACUCCUCAGACUAGGCCUAUAAAGCAAUGAUAACAAAAACCAAAAAAACACAAACGCUCGAUCAAAGUCCCGGCCCUACCCGGCUCAAGGAUAGUGAUGGGAAAUAUCUGAGAACUCUGCUAUAAACCGGCCUAACUUUCACCGUCAACACCGAACCCCUUCUUCUUCGCACGGCUGUCAACAUCCAGAACAUUUGCUAGUUAGAUUUUCUCAAACAGAAGUUUCAAAAUAAGAUCUAGUAGUAAGUACUUGUAGCAUAGAACUAACUGUUAAAUGUAGUACUAUUGUACGCCCUUACUCAUCAUGUCCAUUAGAGGGCAGUGUUGACUUUACCUCUGUGUUACCUGACACUUCCUGUUCCGGUGUCCGAGUUGUUACAUGUGACGAUGUCGAGGAGAGUUGCAGUUCAGUCGCGUUACUCUAAGUCAAGAGCAAGGUAACAGAAGUAAGAAGAACUGUUAGCCUUGAGAAGCUACUAGACGAGCCUGGAUAAAGAUGGCGCAGAGAGACCCCCGUGAAAAUUGAGGACUCUACAAGCCACAGCCUGAGCAACGUCUUGGAGAUUGCGAACCAUAAAAAGAAUAAAGGUGAAAAUGACCGGAGCAGGAACGCUACAUCAGCAGAUCGUCUUUGAUGGAACAGAAGAUAAGUACGGUCUAUGGGAAACACGAUUCCUUAGCCGUUUACACAUUCUGAAGUUGAAAGACACCAUUUUGAGAGAGCCCGCUGGCGAGGCUGCCGUAGCUGCAGAUCCAGUGAAGAAUGCAGAUUGUUAUGCUCAACUAGUGAAUGCACUAGAUGAUAAGAGCCUAUCAUUGACAUCAAGACAUGACGCCGCCGAUGAUGGAAGGAAAGCCUUGAAAUUAUUAAGAGAACAUUAUUCUGGAAAAAGCAAGCCCAGGAUUCUAAACCUGCAGGAAACCAAAUGAGGCAUGGUUACAAUUAGUUUCUUGUUUUAAUGUGGUGUCAUGUCGUUGUAGCUCCUGUUACUAGAGUGGACAUUGGGCUAGUGAACAACACCGUCACCUGUAAGUCUGGAGGAAUCUACCCAAGAACAAAGCUCACCUGGUCCGUCAGUCCUCGCCCAGCUACUGUCCUCCAGAACACAACCGAGGUCCAUGAAGAUGACCAGGGACUCUAUGACAUCAGUGGCUCCUUAAGGACUGUUUACAAUGACACAGAAUCGAUAUACAGCUGCUUAGUCCAAAAUGAACACAGUGCAAGGAAAGCCACAAUGAGGUUGCACCGUAAGUCUUUGACUAUCAGAGAAACAGUCAGUCAGUAGCAAAGCAUUGAUUAGAAAUGUUGCGAUCCAAUUUCGAGUGGUUGCAUUUUAAGGGGAAACCGUCACACUCAGGAAUAGCUAACAUAAGAGAGUACUGCUUCAUAUUUUUAUCGUGAAAAUAUUUUGGUCUGCAACUUCUACUCCACUUCCGCUGAGAAUUGGCAGAAGGUUGGACCAUUGACAUCAUUGGUCUGGGAUUUCUGUUCUCCUUUGGUCAAAAUAGGGUAAAUGGUGUCAUGGUUCAAAAUCUCUGCAGAUUUCAUAACAAUAUCUUAUAUGUCUUAUUGAUUAUCCACUCGUGUGUCCAUCUAAUUCAGCUCCAAUGGAAAAUCUUUCCAAGAGUGAGGUGUUACUUCCUUGUAAUGCCUCGGGGUUCGAUUACAUCACCUGGACCUUCAACCACAACCAGACCAUCCUCAGAAGACAAGCAGGACAAGAGAAGGUGUUGGAAACAGAGUGGCAGCAGCAUGUAAGAGACCUGUCUGAAUCAGGCAGCCUCCUACUGUAUGUGACCUCAUCAGCCCAGAGUGAAGGGGCGUACAGGUGUUCUCUCAGGUACGCAGACGAAGAAGACAUAACCCACAUUGAACUGAAGAUACUGGAGGACCCUAUUGAAGAGGGAUCUUCUAGCACAGUUGGGAUCAUUUUAGGAGUCGUGGAUCCCGUUAUCAUUUUAAUCAUCGCCAUCAACAGUUUAUAUAUCAUAAACCGAUAAAGGCCAAAGAAGGACGAGGAAGGAGCUCAAACAACCAAAGUACUGAACCCUCUCCUCAGGAAGUCGUUCCUCUGUGAGAUAACGGGUUCAACCUCCUGACCUUAUUACCGCACCAUCAGACACAGCAGGGUAAGACCGUGGUCGCAGGAGCCAGGAUCCUUGUUUACGUUGUAAUUUAGGGGUGUAACAGUAGAAUGGGGGGGGGGGGGGUGCUUUGCAGGAGGGACUGACCAGCUUGAGGAGUGAGGCGGAGAUGUGUAAAAGGUGAGUAGGUGUGGUCUGUAGGGGCUGAUUCUGACCUCUGAGUCCUCUGCUGGGAUUAGAGUCUGCCGCUAUGUUGCCCGGUGUCUUCAUCUGAGAUGGACUGGGAGGAUGAUUUCAUUCUGCACCAGAGAAAGACUUUGAAAAGGUCAAACAGACAAUGUGAUGGGUACAACCGAGGCAACUUCAGCACCACAACAACAACAACAUGGACGACCUUGGUGACACACCACAGAGCACACAUCCAAGAGCAAAGAAACAUGUAUCUGGAUUAAUGGGAAUGAAACGUUUUCUGACUGGUCCCUUGAAAAGCGUUGACAUUUUUGUCAUCCUUAUGAUCCCACUAUUUUCUUUUACGAAACUUAAAUUCAUCUUUAAGGCAAUGAAUGGAUGAGUUGUAACAUGCGUCCAUUAUCUUACUGUACCGUCAGUGGAAUUGUCUUCUGCACAGAUUUAAAAGAAAAGCAUCUCCAACGGAUAACAACAAUUGUUAUGUAUUAAUAUUGAUCAUUUUAUUUGUAUUAGGCCUAUAAAGUUGUAAUCAGCCAUUUUCAAAGACUUUUUGAAAAACGAUGUACUGUAUAUUCUGGCAACCCGCCUUCUCCAGUGAACCGCCUCCUCCCCAGACCGGACACAACUUUACUGGGCAAAAAGGCCUGUUUAAUCCAAAAAGUCUCAUACUGAAAAUAACUAGAAACCUGGGAGAAAUCGACGGUCCUAUCCCACGAGAACCUGUCUCUCCUUGCCCGAGCCACAUGGCUGAGAGAGCCCUGAUUGAGUGGAGAAGCAGGCUAUUCAAGCCCUGCUUCUGCACCUGUUCCUCAGGUGCUCUGCAUUUAGAUAAUUGGCCCCCGCUCCAACGCCCUCAAUGGCACCAUCUGGGGGUAGACUGCUUCCAGGGGUGCUGGGCCGGAUCCGGGUUGCCACACUCCUCUACCCUUUGAUGAAGCUUCGGGGCCUCGUGUUGGAGCGGCGGUCCUGCCUGAAGCGGAGCUGCUCCCGCUGCCGGCGUCGCCCGCUGCCUCGUCUCCGGCUGCCUCGUCUCCGGCUGUGUCGAGGCUGCUUUGGAGGCUGGCGUUCACUCAAAAAAUGGACCGUAGCUUGGUCGAGUCCUCGGUCGAUUCUCCGCCAUAUGUGGCGACCCGGCCCCAGGAAUGUCUCUACCACUCAGGAAAUCAACAUUUGCGUUGUAGUAGCAGAGAAUGGCCUGCGGGGCAGUAUGUACAUUGUUAAAUACAUGAAUAGGCUUGAAUUUAGUAGUAAUAUGGAGGUUUUAUAUUUUUACAAAAUGGAUUAUGUGAACAUUGCUGAAUAACAAUCAUGUAUAUUAAAUGUAUUGCAGGAGUUUAGCUUGACACUAACCAAGUGAAAGGACAAUUGAAUGAACCGCACCAAACAUGUAGAAGUCAAUGUGGGAUUUUAAUAUAUGAAAACAAAAACACUUGACAGAAAUGUAAUACAAUUUUAUAAAGGAACGCAGAGGAAAACAUUUUCCAAAUUAAACUUUUCGAAAUUUCACCACCAUUCCGAAAGCAAGUGAAGAGGUUUGUGUAAAAGCAGUCCUCCCUGACCAGCUCUGUCCCUGACUCUAAACCCUGACUCUCAACCCUAACGCUAAACCCUCUGAGGGCAGGAAGACGCGCCUUCAGUGUAAAGAUUUUAACCAGAGAGAAGGAAGAAAAGAGGAAGCAGUAGAGAGUAGUGAAGUAGUGAGGUUAGUGACAGACGUGAGGGAAAGGCGUGUGGAAGCACACGGUUACAUGUGGGGUCAAGAAGAUCACUCCCACUGGAGGUCAUUGAUCCAUCAGCCUCAGACUGCUGAGCUCAGCAGGUCUUCUGGAGGACAAGGCUCAGAUGAACUGAGGAGACGGGACCAGCAGGAUGUCAGGAUCAGGGCUGGUUUAGCUCAGGUGUGUCUACCCCCGACCAAACAGGAUCAGGUGAGGUUCAGCUCAAGUGCGUCUGCCCGGACCAAACAAGGACAUUGAUUAGGUUCAUUAUUCAAAAGAUGCAACAUUAUCUGAACCAAAGAUAAGUCUUUAAGGAGCAGGCAGG